rnacentral:rRNA from 1 species
GGGCUAGCGUUGCUCGGAAUCACUGGGCGUAAAGGGCGCGUAGGCGGCCAUUCAAGUCGGGGGUGAAAGCCUGUGGCUCAACCACAGAAUUGCCUUCGAUACUGUUUGGCUUGAGACCGGAAGAGGUAAGUGGAACUGCGAGUGUAGAGGUGAAAUUCGUAGAUAUUCGCAAGAACACCAGUGGCGAAGGCGGCUUACUGGUCCGGUUCUGACGCUGAGGCGCGAAAGCGUGGGGAGCAAACAGG